AGCAGCCGCGGUAAUUCCAGCUCCAAUAGCGUAUAUUAAAGUUGUUGCGGUUAAAACGCUCGUAGUUGGAUCUGCGGCCUCGGAGAACGGUCCCCCGAAAGGGUGGUCACUGUCUCUCCUAGCCUAAAUUCGAGUCGUCUCUAGGUGCUCUUUACCGGGCCGGAUUCGGGAUCCAGAUCAUUUACUUUGAAAAAAU
rnacentral:rRNA from 1 species